rnacentral:rRNA from 1 species
UGGGGAAUAUUGGACAAUGGGCGCAAGCCUGAUCCAGCAAUGCCGCGUGUGUGAAGAAGGCCUGCGGGUUGUAAAGCACUUUCGGUGGGGAGAAAAGACUUCUGGUUAAUACCCAGGAGAGUUGAUGUUACCCACAGAAGAAGCACCGGCUAACUCUGUGCCAGCAGCCGCGGUAAUACAGAGGGUGCAAGCGUUAAUCGGAAUUACUGGGCGUAAAGGGUGCGUAGGUGGUUUGAUAAGUUAGGUGUGAAAGCCCCGGGCUUAACCUGGGAAUUGCGCCUAAUACUGUUAAGCUAGAGUACUGUAGAGGGAGGUGGAAUUUCCGGUGUAGCGGUGAAAUGCGUAGAUAUCGGAAGGAACACCAGUGGCGAAGGCGACUUCCUGGACAGAUACUGACACUGAGGCACGAAAGCAUGGGGAGCAAACAGG